rnacentral:rRNA from 1 species
UACGUAGGGCGCAAGCGUUGUCCGGAAUUAUUGGGCGUAAAGAGCCCGUAGGCGGUCUGUUGCGUCCGCUGUGAAAACCCAGGGCUUAACCCUGGGCUUGCAGUGGAUACGGGCUGGCUGGAGGCAGGCAGGGGAGAACGGAAUUCCUGGUGUAGCGGUGAAAUGCGCAGAUAUCGGGAGGAACACCAAUGGCGAAGGCAGCUCGCUGGGACGUGACUGACGCUGAGACGCGAAAGCGUGGGGAGCAAACAGG